rnacentral:lncRNA from 1 species
CUAUUUAAUAGAAGCCUUGCCCAGAAGCCAGUUUCAGGCAUUAUGCACCUCUAACAAAGUAAUUUCACUUAGAUUCUGAUCGCAUGAACAUAAUAACUUCAAGACAAUCAAGACAAGGUGCUGAUCUUCUGUGGAUGCCUCCCUGGGAGGAGGCUUAUUGGGACAUAGAAGAUUGGAAAAACUUCUCUGUGAAACAUCUGGGAUUCAUUUCAUGUUAGGUUUCUCCAAAGAUAAGA